UAUAUCUGGAUUGUAAGGAGACCUAUAACUGGUAGAAUAUUUAUGUCAAGGACAUGGUUCAUCCAAAAAUGUAAAUUCAUUGUGUUCAGCAGAAGGAAGAAAGUCAUACACAUCUGGAAUGGCAUGAGGCAUCCCUACAGAGUGCUUCAACUUGAACCCUUUUUGGUGAUGUUACACUAUUGCAUAUAUUGCUAUUGCUUGAAGACAUUGGUAUCAGGGCAUGAACAGCACUCUACAAUCCAUCACCUGACAGAGG